rnacentral:rRNA from 1 species
AUGCUCACCGUAUCCCCAGCAUGGGUUGCGCUCGCCUCUUUUACUCCCCACCAAAAGGCUUUGAUCAUAGAUGUGAGGCGUUCACACAAACCCCACGACAGUUUAAAACAAGACAUUGACAGUUGGGGUGUUGGGAGUUUUAGCUCCCGUGGCUCGCUGGCAUGUGAAAGCUGGGGUGUCAGCCCCCAGAUAUCAAAUGGAUCUUGCCGAUUAGCUUUUUUGGCAGUUUGUAUGCAGCGCGGACGUGGUGGUUGCGAUGUGCAUACAAUUUGCAUGUCCAGAAUUGUCUCAGCCAUUGCCGAUUGGUGUGGGCAGCAUCGCCAUUCCUCGGUCCGCCGUGGAGUAGUGAGGUGUCGCGGAGUCCCGGCGACCGAGGCCGUCGGGUACGCGGUGAUGGCAUAUGCGCGCACACUGGCUAGGGCGGAGGCCCUGAUCGCCGCCGGAGUGUGCCUUGUGGACACGGCGGCCUCCGUCGCCGCUACCUCCGACAUGGUCUUCAUGGUGGUCGACGAUCUCCGAAAGAUCAUGGUCGGCAACCCCGACGACGUUCGUGUCGUCGUCGGCUGUGCCAUGGCAGACCGCCAACAAGAAGGUGCCCGGAGGGAGGUGCAUGCAGAAUUGCAGACUAUGGUGGCGGUCACGAACGUGACAAUGGUGUGUGGGCACAAGCAGAAGGGGUGCAGGGACAUGGCGGUGCGGAUGAGAGGUUGUGGCGUCAUCUUCGCCGCGGACGCUUCAAAGACCUGCAGCACGGCCGUCGGGUGUUGUCGUCUCCGCCUCACGCUCCCUCGCGACCGUGAGUCGCGUCAUGUAGCCCCCGCCUGUACGCAACCAUCUCGGGUGCAAGAAAGCACGCCGCCCAGCCGUGCCCGCGAUCAGUCGCCAUGGCUGACGCCGCAGGCUGCGUCGCCUCAGACGCUCAGUAAUCAGUGUCUGUGCGUUGCCUUGGCGGUGUUGUACUGCAGGUUGCUUAGUAUCCGUGCCUUUCUCCCUGCAUCUGCCCAGAUCGAUGCAGCACAUGCUAUCCUGGUGGUGACCACCACGGCCAGAAGCAGCAUCCAAGAGGCCAGACAUGCUUGCUCUUGGCAGCCGUUCGCUCACUUGCUGCACGGCAGCACCGAUACACAGCAUAGGCCACUGUCGUUGGCGUACUGGCUCCCGGGCAGCGUGUUGAUCUACCCGUGCUAG